rnacentral:rRNA from 1 species
UGUAAGCGUAUACCAAAGUUGUUGCAGUUAAAACGCUCGUAGUCGGAACUUGGCCGUGUCGGAUGAGUGCACGUCGUGUGCGCGCAUUGCAGAUAUGGCUUUUGUGGCUUUUGCGUACGAUGAGGCACGUUUAUUCGUGAACGUCGUUCCGCAGCCACUCUUUACUGUGAGAAAAUCAAAGUGCUCAAAGCAGGCAUUUGCCGUGAAUGUAUUAGCAUGGAAUAAUAGAAUAGGACUCGGUUCUAUUUUGUUGGUUUGUUGGGGCUGAGUAAUGAUUAAGAGGGACAGUUGGGGGCAUUUGUAUUUCGGCGCUAGAGGUGAAAUUCUUAGAUUGCCGAAAGACAAACUGCUGCGAAAGCGUCUGCCAAGGAUGUUUUCAUUGA